GACGAACGCUGGCGGCGUGCCUAACACAUGCAAGUCGAACGGGGCUAGGAAAGCUUGCUUUCUGAUGCCUAGUGGCGGACGGGUGAGUAACGCGUGAGUAACCUGCCUUUCAGAGGGGAAUAACGUUCUGAAAAGAACGCUAAUACCGCAUAACGUACAGCUUUCGCAUGGAAGCAGUACCAAAGGAGCAAUCCGCUGAGAGAUGGACUCGCGUCCGAUUAGCUAGUUGGUGGGGUAAAGGCCUACCAAGGCGACGAUCGGUAGCCGGACUGAGAGGUUGAACGGCCACAUUGGGACUGAGACACGGCCCAG
rnacentral:rRNA from 1 species